UACAGAGGGUGCGAGCGUUGUCCGGAAUCACUGGGCGUAAAGGGCGCGUAGGCGGCCGGCUAAGUAGAGGGUGAAAUCCUGCGGCUCAACCGCAGGGCUGCCUUCUAAACUGUCAGGCUGGAGCACGGUAGAGGCAGAUGGAAUUCCCGGUGUAGCGGUGGAAUGCGUAGAGAUCGGGAAGAACACCAGUGGCGAAGGCGGUCUGCUGGGCCGUUGCUGACGCUGAGGCGCGACAGCGUGGGGAGCAAACAGG
rnacentral:rRNA from 1 species